rnacentral:rRNA from 1 species
AGUUGCCAUCAGUUUGGUUGGGCACUCUAGUGAGACUGCCGGUGACAAACCGGAGGAAGGUGGGGAUGACGUCAAGUCCUCAUGGCCCUUAUGGGUAGGGCUUCACACGUCAUACAAUGGUCGGUACAGAGGGUUGCCAAGCCGCGAGGUGGAGCCAAUCCCUUAAAGCCGAUCGUAGUCCGGAUCGUAGUCUGCAACUCGACUACGUGAAGUCGGAAUCGCUAGUAAUCGCAGAUCAGCAUGCUGCGGUGAAUACGUUCCCGGGUCUU